ACUAACGAUCAAACCACGCAGGACGAACACCGGUUCUCGUCUGAUCACCGAAGUUAAGAUGCGUUGGGCAUGGAUAGUACUUGGAUGGGUGACCGCCUGGGAACUCCAUGUGUCGUUGGUU